rnacentral:rRNA from 2 species
AUGCAAGUCGAACGAUGAACCUGGAGCUUGCUCUGGGGGAUUAGUGGCGAACGGGUGAGUAACACGUGAGCAACCUGCCCCUGACUCUGGGAUAAGCGCUGGAAACGGCGUCUAAUACUGGAUACGAGUAGCGAUCGCAUGGUCAGCUACUGGAAAGAUUUUUUGGUUGGGGAUGGGCUCGCGGCCUAUCAGCUUGUUGGUGAGGUAAUGGCUCACCAAGGCGUCGACGGGUAGCCGGCCUGAGAGGGUGACCGGCCACACUGGGACUGAGACACGGCCCAGACUCCUACGGGAGGCAGCAGUGGGGAAUAUUGCACAAUGGGCGGAAGCCUGAUGCAGCAACGCCGCGUGAGGGAUGACGGCCUUCGGGUUGUAAACCUCUUUUAGCAGGGAAGAAGCGAGAGUGACGGUACCUGCAGAAAAAGCGCCGGCUAACUACGUGCCAGCAGCCGCGGUAAUACGUAGGGCGCAAGCGUUAUCCGGAAUUAUUGGGCGUAAAGAGCUCGUAGGCGGUUUGUCGCGUCUGCUGUGAAAUCCCGAGGCUCAACCUCGGGCCUGCAGUGGGUACGGGCAGACUAGAGUGCGGUAGGGGAGAUUGGAAUUCCUGGU